rnacentral:rRNA from 1 species
UCCGGAGAGGGAGCCUGAGAGAUGGCUACCACAUCCAAGGAAGGCAGCAGGCGCGUAAAUUGCCCGAAUCCUGACACAGGGAGGUAGUGACAAGAAAUAACAAUACAGGGCUACAUCUAGUCUUGUAAUUGGAAUGAGUACAAUUUACAUCUCUUCACGAGGAUCAAUUGGAGGGCAAGUCUGGUGCCAGCAGCCGCGGUAAUUCCAGCUCCAAUAGCGUAUAUUAAAGUUGUUGCAGUUAGAACGCUCGUAGUCGGAUUUCGGGGCGGGCCGACCGGUCUGCCGAUGGGUACGCACUGGUCGGCGCGUCCUUCCUUCCGGAGACCGUGCCUACUCUUAACUGAGCGGGGGCGGGAGACGGAACGUUUACUUUGAAAGAAUCAGAGUGUUUCAAGCAGGCAGCUCGCUCUUGCAUGGAUUAGCAUGGGAUAAUGAAAUAGGACUUUGGUGCUAUUUUGUUGGUUUCGAACACCGAAGUAAUGAUGAGAAGGGACAGUCGGGGCACUCGUAUUCCACCGAGAGAGGUGAAAUUCUCAGACCAGUGGAAGACGAACCACUGCGAAAGCAUUUGCCAGGGAUGUUUUCACUGAUCAAGAACGAAAGUUAGGGGAUCGAAGACGAUCAGAUACCGUCGUAGUCUUAACCAUAAACCAUGCCGACUAGGGAUUGGGGGAUGUUCACUGAUUGACUCCCUCAGCACCUUACGGGAAACUAAAGUCUUUGGGUUCCGGGGGGAGUAUGGUCGCAAGGC